rnacentral:rRNA from 1 species
CAGUCGCCGCGGUAAUACAGAGGGUGCGAGCGUUAAUCGGAUUUACUGGGCGUAAAGCGUGCGUAGGCGGCUUCUUAAGUCGGAUGUGAAAUCCCUGAGCUUAACUUAAGAAUUGCAUUCGAUACUGGGAAGCUAGAGUAUGGGAGAGGAUGGUAGAAUUCCAGGUGUAGCGGUGAAAUGCGUAGAGAUCUGGAGGAAUACCGAUGGCGAAGGCAGCCAUCUGGCCUAAUACUGACGCUGAGGUACGAAAGCGUGGGGAGCAAACAGGAUUAGAUACCCCCGUAGUCCCUGUCUCUUAUAC